GAGUUUGAUCUUGGCUCAGAACGAACGCUGGCGGCGCGCCUAACACAUGCAAGUCGAACGGGGUUGAGAGGAGCUUGCUUUUCUUGACUUAGUGGCGAACGGGUGAGUAACGCGUGAGGAACCUGCCUCAAAGAGGGGGACAACAGCUGGAAACGGCUGCUAAUACCGCAUAAUACCAUUUUGGGGCAUCCUGAGAUGGUCAAAGGAGCAAUCCGCUGUAAGAUGGCUUCGCGUCCGAUUAGACAGUUGGCGGGGUAACGGCCCACCAAAUCUACGAUCGGUAGCCGGACUGAGAGGUUGAACGGCCACAUUGGGACUGAGACACGGCCCAGACUCCUACGGGAGGCAGCAGUGGGGGAUAUUGCACAAUGGAGGAAACUCUGAUGCAGCGACGCCGCGUGAGGGAAGAAGGUUUUCGGAUUGUAAACCUCUGUCUUCGAUGACGAAAAUGACGGUAGCCGAGGAGGAAGCCACGGCUAACUACGUGCCAGCCGCCGCAGUAAG
rnacentral:rRNA from 1 species